rnacentral:lncRNA from 1 species
CUGUGGCUGAGGAUGGGCCAGAGCUAAUACCUACCCCUGCAGGUCAAGUACUCUCCCAGUCAGUCUCAAAAUGUAAUCCUCGAGUUGCUGAAUCUGAACUGACUGAUCUGAGAUCAUCUGAAAUACAGUGGAGAUAUGGAGGAUCAAGAUCUGAUCAGAUGUAUCUAAUGAUGUGGAUCCCGGUGCAAAUGUAGAAGUGCUCCACUGACGAGAAAGCAAGGAAGCCACACGCUGAGAAAUCUGCUCAAUCUGAUCAUCAGCCAAUCUGAACUCUGAAGGAGGUGCUCUGCUGUCUGGCUGCUGAACUGAUGUGUACCUCCUGGUGGACUCUGAAGGGCCAGCCUCUGGGUCUGAAACAAACUGGAUAUCUGAAGAUGCUGCCCUGAAGUCAUGAAGAGGUGAUGAGGGACCUUCUUCCUC